rnacentral:tRNA from 1 species
GCCUGGAUGGCUCAGUCGGUUAAGCGUCCGACUUCAGCUCAGAUCAUGGUCUUAUGGUCGUGGGAUCAAGCCCCGCAUCAGGCU